rnacentral:rRNA from 1 species
UACGUAGGGGGCAAGCGUUGUCCGGAAUUAUUGGGCGUAAAGAGCGCGUAGGCGGUCCGAUAAGUCGGCUGUGAAAGUCCAGGGCUCAACCCUGGGAUGCCGGUGGAUACUGUCGGGCUCGAGUCCGGAAGAGGUGGGUGGAAUUCCUAGUGUAGAGGUGAAAUUCGUAGAUAUUAGGAAGAACACCGGUGGCGAAGGCGGCCCACUGGUCCGGUACUGACGCUGAGGUGCGAAAGCGUGGGGAGCAAACAGG